rnacentral:rRNA from 1 species
UACGUAGGGGGCAAGCGUUGUCCGGAAUCAUUGGGCGUAAAGCGCGUGUAGGCGGUUCGGUAAGUCAGCUGUGAAAGUCCAGGGCUCAACCCUGGAAAGCCGGUUGAUACUGUCGGGCUAGAGUGCGGAAGAGGCGAGUGGAAUUCCUGGUGUAGCGGUGAAAUGCGCAGAUAUCAGGAGGAACACCAAUUGCGAAGGCAGCUCGCUGGGACGUUACUGACGCUGAGACGCGAAAGCGUGGGGAGCGAACAGG